GUUCGGAUCCAGGAAGGUAAUGUAUUGAGAAUAAUUUCUCUUCUAGUGCCCUUUCUUCUUGCAGUAGAAGCAUUCUGUCUGACUCUGAUCGAACUUGGAUUUCUUGGUCUGACAGGACUUGGGUGCCCCAGCACUUUGCACCCUUUUCUUGUUCUUCUUGUUGUUCUUUCCUUUCUUAAAGGGUCGACAUCCAGAAGAAG
rnacentral:lncRNA from 1 species